rfam:Myotis lucifugus cont2.35591, whole genome shotgun sequence.
GGCGGUUCUUGGGUGACACACCCCAGAAUCGGGUUCCUUCCUCUCUGGUUCCAGGGUGCGUCACCUGAGAACUGCC